ACCUUCGGGCCUCUUGCCAUCGGAUGUGCCCAGAUGGGAUUAGCUAGUAGGUGGGGUAACGGCUCACCUAGGCGACGAUCCCUAGCUGGUCUGAGAGGAUGACCAGCCACACUGGAACUGAGACACGGUCCAGACUCCUACGGGAGGCAGCAGUGGGGAAUAUUGCACAAUGGGCGCAAGCCUGAUGCAGCCAUGCCGCGUGUAUGAAGAAGGCCUUCGGGUUGUAAAGUACUUUCAGCGGGGAGGAAGGGAGUAAAGUUAAUACCUUUGCUCAUUGACGUUACCCGCAGAAGAAGCACCGGCUAACUCCGUGCCAGCAGCCGCGGUAAUACGGAGGGUGCAAGCGUUAAUCGGAAUUACUGGGCGUAAAGCGCACGCAGGCGGUUUGUUAAGUCAGAUGUGAAAUCCCCGGGCUCAACCUGGGAACUGCAUCUGAUACUGGCAAGCUUGAGUC
rnacentral:rRNA from 1 species